GCUGCCGCAAAAUCGGCAGCCGGGCGUGAGAACCCGAGCUUAACAAAGGCGACACGACACGCGCCAAGCGUGUUUUUU
rnacentral:sRNA from 1 species